AAUGUGUUUACGGUGUCCCGUUUAAAAGCGGGAAGAAUAGGGAAACCGGUGUAAAUCCGGUGCUGCCGCGCAACUGUGAGAAAGCAUAAACCAGCGGUGAUAUGCCACUAUCCUUUUACCGGGAUGGGAAGGCGCUGUCGGUUGCUUUUAGCCAGGAGACCUGCCGUAGAUGUUAAA
rnacentral:ncRNA from 1 species